rnacentral:tRNA from 1 species
AAAUUAUUAGUUUAAUAAAAAUAAAUGUUUUCUAUACAUUAGAUAAUGGGACAAGUUAUAAUUUA